AUUGAACGCUGGCGGCAGGCCUAACACAUGCAAGUCGAGCGAGCGGCGGACGGGUGAGUAAUGUAUGGGAAACUGCCUGAUGGAGGGGGAUAACUACUGGAAACGGUAGCUAAUACCGCAUACUAUCGGAUGAACCCAGAUGGGAUUAGCUAGUAGGUGGGGUAAUGGCUCACCUAGGCGACGAUCCCUAGCUGGUCUGAGAGGAUGACCAGCCACACUGGAACUGAGACACGGCCCAGACUCCGACGGGAGGCAGCAGGGGGGAAUAUUGCACAAUGGGCGCAAGCCUGAUGCAGCCAUGCCGCGUGUAUGAAGAAGGCCUUCGGGUUGUAAAGUACUUUCAGCGGGGAGGCGUUACUCGCAGAAGAAGCACCGGCUAACUCCGUGCCAGCAGCCGCGGUAAUAC
rnacentral:rRNA from 1 species